rnacentral:rRNA from 1 species
GGGGGAUAUUGCACAAUGGGGGAAACCCUGAUGCAGCGACGCCGCGUGAGGGAAGACGGUCCUCUGGAUUGUAAACCUCUGUCUUCGGGGACGAAACGAGACGGUACCCGAGGAGGAAGCCACGGCUAACUACGUGCCAGCAGCCGCGGUAAUACGUAGGUGGCAAGCGUUGUCCGGAAUUACUGGGUGUAAAGGGAGCGUAGGCGGGCAGGCAAGUCAGGCGUGAAAUAUAUCGGCUCAACCGGUAACGGCGCUUGAAACUGCAGGUCUUGAGUGAAGUAGAGGUUGGCGGAAUUCCUAGUGUAGCGGUGAAAUGCGUAGAUAUUAGGAGGAACACCAGUGGCGAAGGCGGCCAACUGGGCUUUUACUGACGCUGAGGCUCGAAAGUGUGGGGAGCAAACAGGAUUAGAUACCCUGGUAGUCCACACCGUAAACGAUGAUUACUAGGUGUGGGGGGACUGACCCCUUCCGUGCCGGAGUUAACACAAUAAGUAAUCCACCUGGGGAGUACGGCCGCAAGGUUGAAACUCAAAGGAAUUGACGGGGGCCCGCACAAGCAGUGGAGUAUGUGGUUUAAUUCGACGCAACGCGAAGAACCUUACCAGGUCUUGACAUCGUAUGCAUAGUGUAGAGAUACAUGAAGUCCUUCGGGACAUACAGACAGGUGGUGCAUGGUUGUCGUCAGCUCGUGUCGUGAGAUGUUGGGUUAAGUCCCGCAACGAGCGCAACCCUUGUAUUUAGUUGCUACGCAAGAGCACUCUAGAUAGACUGCCGUGGACAACACGGAGGAAGGUGGGGAUGACGUCAAAUCAUCAUGCCCCUUAUGACCUGGGCUACACACGUACUACAAUGGCAAUGGAACAGAGGGAAGCGACUCAGCGAUGAGAAGCAGAUCCCGAAAAAUUGUCUCAGUUCGGAUUGCAGGCUGCAACCCGCCUGCAUGAAGUCGGAAUUGCUAGUAAUCGCGGAUCAGAAUGUCGCGGUGAAUACGUUCCCG